UUUUAAACCUAUCUAUCAUUCUCU
rnacentral:snRNA from 1 species